CUAUACAUGACUCUGCGCAUAUCAAUAAGCGGAGGAAAAGAAACUAACAAGGAUUCCCUCAGUAACGGCGAGUGAAGCGGGAAGAGCUCAAAUUUGAAAUCUUGAAAGGUCACCUUUCACGAAUUGUAGUUUAAAGAAGUGUUUUCUGUUACGAUCGUAAUAUAAGUUCUUUGGAAUAGGACAUCACAGAGGGUGAGAAUCCCGUCUAUGAUUGCGAUUUGUAGCUUUGUGAUACACUUUCAAAGAGUCGGGUUGUUUGGGAAUGCAGCCCAAAACGGGAGGUAAAUUUCUUCUAAGGCUAAAUAUUGGCGAGAGACCGAUAGCGAACAAGUACCGUGAGGGAAAGAUGAAAAGAACUCUGAAAAGAGAGUUAAAUAGUACGUGAAAUUGUCAAAAGGGAAGCGUUUAACACCAGUGUUGUUUUCUGAAAAUCAACCUCUGUUAGCUUUAUGCAUGUUUGUUUAGACCUAAUCAGCUAUCUUGCAUGUUCUAUUGUUUGCAGUGGUGCACUUUUCAGUUUACAGGUCAACAUCAGUUUUUUUUACCGUAAAAAAGUUAAAGAAAGGUAGCUCAUGGCUCCGGUCGUGAGUGUUAUAGUCUUUUUCCUAUGCGGUAGGAGAGACUGAGGUCUGCAGUGUAGGCUAUUUGGCUAGAUACUCAGGUGCUAUGUGAUACCAUUUCAUAAACAACUUGUUGAUUAUGUUUUGUCUAUUGCAUACUCGCUUGUACUAUCAUACCUACGCUUAGGAUGUUGAGUCGUAGAGCACGCAG
rnacentral:rRNA from 1 species